CGCCUUCUUGAAAUCAAUCACGAUAUAUGAAUGUUGUAGAUUAACUUAUUUAAUAGUACUCUCAAAUAUGUUAUCAGAACCAACUCGAUCAAAUUUGUUAUCCAAACUACUCAUUUCUCUCCCCAAAGCCCCGUCCCCCUCUUCUUCGAAAUCGCAACCGUCUUCUGUCCGGCACCCACACAAGAACUCAUCACUGACGCAGAGCCCGCCGGAAGCUUUCUCUAGAGAACGAUAUGUCGGUCGCCGUCCCCAUGGCCUCGCCCAGUCGCCGGCUCGACUUGGAUGACCAGCCAUUCCUCAAUUCCAGGAUUUGUGCAAGAGAAAGGGAUAUGUUGAUAACUAGGAGGCAAGCAUGCCUUCUCCAAGCAUGACCAAGCAGAGAACGAGCAGUGUGAAAAUUUUUGGGGUCGAAUUGUGCCCUGACAAUGUGGCUGUUGCCAUGGUAUUUUGUUCAAGGUGUCCUAGGCCUUGCAGGGCUUGCUGUCGGUUUUUAUCUUUCCAUUUAAAAGACGAUUUGCAUCUCGACCUGGCUGAGGUACAUUUACAUUCACACUUUCUGUUGGCCUUUUGUAGGCGAACUGCUAUUAUAGUGACUAAUAGAAGUAGGAAGAAGGAACAAGGGGUUGAAAUUUGGCUAAUUCUGCCAAUAUAGAUGUUUUGCAAGUGGCUGGGUUUUGCUAGUUUAAAGUGAAUCGUACAGAUCAAUUAAAUUCUGGGCGGCGAAUCUUCACCAUUGAUGAAAUUGUGUUUCUAUGUUUAACUUCUACAGGUGCGUCCUCUGUAUAUUUCUAUAAUUUCAAUUUCUCAAAUCGCUAUUGUUUAUUAGAUUUUACUUUUGAUAUGGUUACUAUUGUUUAUGGUUUAUAAAAAAAAAAUCUUUGUUUAUGCUAUUGGUUUGGUUAAUCUUGUAUAGUAUGUAUUUGCAGAAUUAUACGCAAUGGCUCUAUUUAGUAGGUUCAUAAUCUAAUCAUGUGUUUAUCUUUUCUCAAAGGACUCCUCUUAUUAUAAUUUUGUCAAGAGUUCAAUUGCAAAGGAAUGCAUGAGUAGAAAGGUUUAGAGGCAGAAACUCUAUUUACUUUUCUUGAUUGAGAUCAAAUGUAUAUUUCCACCUAUACGAGUACAAUAUUUUUUUUUCUUGUGAUCCAUAUGCUUAUGUCCAUGCAAAUAGAGAGAGGCAGCAAUUGCUGAGGCUCAAGUAUUAGGGGCAGUAGUUCACUCUCAAGGUCCUUUGUUUGGAGAUGUUCAAAGAAAUUUGAAGUCUUCAAGUGUUCUUGUUAUUGGAGACCUAUUUGAUACUUUGUGGAUAGUUUGAUAUUUCUAGUACAACUCGUCGUUAGCUUUAGUGUGCAGUUUGUAAUAUUUGAUUUUGUGAUUUCUUUAUGUAAUUAUUGUAUUGUAGUAAAUUUGUUUAUAUAUUAAAUGAUUUAUUAUUUUUAUUAUUUGAUACUUUGUGGAUAGUUUGAUAUUUCUAAUAUAACUCAUCGUUAGCUUUA